UCAACUUGAGAGUUUGAUCCUGGCUCAGAACGAACGCUGGCGGCAGGCCUAACACAUGCAAGUCGAGCGCAGUGGUUACCUUCGGGUGAUCACCGAGCGGCGGACGGGUUAGUAACGCGUGGGAAUGUACCCUUCUCUACGGAAUAGCCUCGGGAAACUGAGAGUAAUACCGUAUACGCCCUUCGGGGGAAAGAUUUAUCGGAGAAGGAUCAGCCCGCGUAAGAUUAGAUAGUUGGUGGGGUAAUGGCCUACCAAGUCUACGAUCUUUAGCUGGUUUUAGAGGAUGAUCAGCAACACUGGGACUGAGACA
rnacentral:rRNA from 1 species